rnacentral:rRNA from 1 species
UACGUAGGGUGCAAGCGUUAAUCGGAAUUACUGGGCGUAAAGCGUGCGCAGGCGGUUUUGUAAGACAGAGGUGAAAUCCCCGGGCUCAACCUGGGAACUGCCUUUGUGACUGCAAGGCUUGAGUGCGGCAGAGGGGGAUGGAAUUCCGCGUGUAGCAGUGAAAAUGCGUAGAUAUGCGGAGGAACACCGAUGGCGAAGGCAAUCCCCUGGGCCUGCACUGACGCUCAUGCACGAAAGCGUGGGGAGCAAACAGG